CCUACGGGCGGCAGCAGUCGAGAAUCAUUCACAAUGGGGGAAACCCUGAUGGUGCGACGCCGCGUGGGGGAAUGAAGGUCUUCGGAUUGUAAACCCCUGUCAUGUGGGAGCAAAUUAAAAAGAUAGUACCACAAGAGGAAGAGACGGCUAACUCUGUGCCAGCAGCCGCGGUAAUACAGAGGUCUCAAGCGUUGUUCGGAAUCACUGGGCGUAAAGCGUGCGUAGGCUGUUGCGUAAGUCGUGUGUGAAAGGCGCGGGCUCAACCCGCGGAGGGCACCUGAUACUGCGAGAGUCGAGUAAUGGGGGGGGAGCCGGAAUUCGCGGUGUAGCAGUGAAAUGCGUAGAUAUCGAGAGGAACACUCGUGGCGAGGGCGGGUUCCUGGACAGUAACUGACGCUGAGGCACGAAGGCGAGGGGAGCGAAAGGGAUUAGAUACCCGGGUAGUC
rnacentral:rRNA from 1 species